rnacentral:rRNA from 1 species
GGCAGCAUUUUAGUUUGCUUGCAAACUGAAGAUGGCGACCGGCGCACGGGUGAGUAACACGUAUCCAACCUGCCGAUAACUCCGGGAUAGCCUUUCGAAAGAAAGAUUAAUACCGGAUGGCAUACGAAUAUCGCAUGAUAUUUUUAUUAAAGAAUUUCGGUUAUCGAUGGGGAUGCGUUCCAUUAGUUUGUUGGCGGGGUAACGGCCCACCAAGACUACGAUGGAUAGGGGUUCUGAGAGGAAGGUCCCCCACAUUGGAACUGAGACACGGUCCAAACUCCUACGGGAGGCAGCAGUGAGGAAUAUUGGUCAAUGGGCGAGAGCCUGAACCAGCCAAGUAGCGUGAAGGAUGAAGGCUCUAUGGGUCGUAAACUUCUUUUAUAUGGGAAUAAAGUUUUCCACGUGUGGAAUUUUGUAUGUACCAUAUGAAUAAGGAUCGGCUAACUCCGUGCCAGCAGCCGCGGUAAUACGGAGGAUCCGAGCGUUAUCCGGAUUUAUUGGGUUUAAAGGGAGCGUAGGUGGAUUGUUAAGUCAGUUGUGAAAGUUUGCGGCUCAACCGUAAAAUUGCAGUUGAACUGCAGUCUUGAGUACAGUAGAGUGGGCGGAUUCGUGUGUAGCGGUGAAAUGCUUA